AUGUGGCAAAUGUUUAGGAAUAGGCUGCCUACCUCGGACAACGUUGCCAAACGUAACGGCCCGGCCGAUGGUUCUUGCGCAAUGUGCGGUGUAGGUGAAGACGCUAACCACGUGUUCUUUAGAUGCCACCUGGCCAAGUUCGCGUGGAGUGCGGUUAGGGACGCACUCCACUCGAAUUGGAACCCCGCUUCGGGCGCUGACUUGCUCAUGAUAAUCAAAACACAAAAAGGGACCAGCGGUAGAAUCGCUUGGCGAUGCGUAAGGGCGCUGCUGUGGGCUCUAUGGACGACGCGGAAUAAAAUUACGAUUUAG
rnacentral:rRNA from 1 species